rfam:Hordeum vulgare subsp. vulgare, WGS project CAJW01000000 data, contig: morex_contig_44943
AACAUACUCCCUCCGUCCCAAAAUUCUUGUCUUGUAUUUAGAUACAUUCAUUUCUACACAAACCUAAGACAAGAAUUUUGGGACGGAGGGAGUAUAAC